GAUGAAGAACGCAGCGAAAUGCGAUACGUAAUGUGAAUUGCAAAUUCAGUGAAUCAUCGAGUCUUUGAACGCACAUUGCGCCCCCUGGUAUUCCGGGGGGCAUGCCUGUCCGAGCGUCAUUGCUGCCCUCAAGCACGGCUUGUGUGUUGGGCCCCGUCCUCCGAUUCCGGGGGACGGGCCCGAAAGGCAGCGGCGGCACCGCGUCCGGUCCUCGAGCGUAUGGGGCUUUGUCACCCGCUCUGUAGGCCCGGCCGGCGCUUGCCGAUCAACCCAAAUUUUUAUCCAGGUUGACCUCGGACCAGGUAGGGAUACCCGCUGAACUUAAGCAUAUCAAUAAGCGGAGGA
rnacentral:misc_RNA from 1 species